GAACCGGAUUAGAUACCCGGGUAGUCCCGGCUGUAAACGAUGCGGGCUAGGUGUUGGGCGAGCGUGAGGGCCCGCCCAGUGCCGCAGGGAAGCCGUUAAGCCCGCCGCCUGGGGAGUACGGCCGCAAGGCUGAAACUUAAAGGAAUUGGCGGGGGAGCACCACAAGGGGUGGAGCCUGCGGCUUAAUUGGAGUCAACGCCGGGAACCUCCACCGGGGGCGACAGCAGGAUGACGCCCAGGCUGAAGGCCUUGGCCGACACGCUGAGGGGAGGUGCAUGGCCGUCGCCAGCUCGUGCCGUGAGGUGUCCUGUUAAGUCAGGCAACGAGCGAGACCCCCGCCCCUAGUUGCUACCCCAGGGGAGACCCUGGGGGCACACUAGGGGGACUGCCGCCGCCAAGGCGGAGGAAGGAGGGGGCAACGGCAGGUCAGCAUGCCCCUAAACCCCCGGGCUGCACGCGGGCUACAAUGGCGGGGACAGCGGGUUCCGACCCCGUAAGGGGAAGGCAAUCCCUGAAACCCCGCCUCAGUUGGGAUCGAGGG
rnacentral:rRNA from 1 species